GAUGAACGCUGGCGGCGUGCCUAAUACAUGCAAGUCGAGCGAACAGACGUGGAGCUUGCUCCUCUGACGUUAGCGGCGGACGGGUGAGUAACACGUGGAUAACCUACCUAUAAGACUGGGAUAACUUCGGGAAACCGGAGCUAAUACCGGAUAAUAUAUUGAACCGCAUGGUUCAAUAGUGAAAGACGGUUUUGCUGUCACUUAUAGAUGGAUCCGCGCCGCAUUAGCUAGUUGGUAAGGUAACGGCUUACCAAGGCAACGAUGCGUAGCCGACCUGAGAGGGUGAUCGGCCACACUGGAACUGAGACACGGUCCAGACUCCUACGGGAGGCAGCAGUAGGGAAUCUUCCGCAAUGGUCGAAAGCCUGACGGAGCAACGCCGCGUGAGUGAUGAAGGUCUUCGGAUCGUAAAACUCUGUUAUUAGGGAAGAACAAAUGUGUAAGUAACUAUGCACGUCUUGACGGUACCUAAUCAGAAAGCCACGGCUAACUACGUG
rnacentral:rRNA from 1 species